UACGUAGGGUGCAAGCGUUGUCCGGAAUUAUUGGGCGUAAAGAGCUCGUAGGCGGUUUGUUGCGUCGGCUGUGAAAACCCGGGGCUCAACCCCGGGCCUGCAGCCGAUACGGGCAGACUAGAGUUCGGCAGGGGAGACUGGAAUUCCUGGUGUAGCGGUGAAAUGCGCAGAUAUCAGGAGGAACACCGGUGGCGAAGGCGGAUCUCUGGGCCAUUACUGACGCUGAGGAGCGAAAGCGUGGGGAGCGAACAGG
rnacentral:rRNA from 1 species